GUGCCAGCAGCUGCGGUAAUACGAAGGGGCUAGCGUUGUUCGGAAUUACUGGGCGUAAAGCGCGCGCAGGCGGCCAUUCAAGUCAGGGGUGAAAGCCCAGAGCUCAACUCUGGAACUGCCUUUGAAACUGUAUGGCUUGAGUAUGAGAGAGGUGAGUGGAAUUCCCAGUGUAGAGGUGAAAUUCGUAGAUAUUGGGAAGAACACCGGUGGCGAAGGCGGCUCACUGGCUCAUUACUGACGCUCAGGCGCGACAGCGUGGGGAUCAAACAGGAUUAGAUACCCUGGUAGUCCACGCCGUAAACGAUGAACGCUAGCCGUUGGCCAGCUUGCUGGUCAGUGGCGCAGCUAACGCAUUAGCGUU
rnacentral:rRNA from 1 species